GCACCGGUAGCUCAACUGGAUAGAGCAUCAGUCUUCGGAACUGAGGGUUAGGGGUUCGACUCCCUUCCGGUGUA
rnacentral:tRNA from 1 species